GAGCAACGCCGCGUGAGGGAUGAAGGCCUCUGGGCUGUAAACCUCUUUUAUCAAGGAAGAAGAUCUGACGGUACUUGGUGAAUAAGCCACGGCUAAUUCCGUGCCAGCAGCCGCGGUAAUACGGGAGCGGCAAGCGUUAUCCGGAAUUAUUGGGCGUAAAGCGUCCGCAGGCGGCUUUACAAGUCUGUCGUUAAAACGUGGAGCUCAACUCCAUUUCGGCGAUGGAAACUGUAAGACUAGAGUGUGGUAGGGGCAGAGGGAAUUCCCGGUGUAGCGGUGAAAUGCGUAGAUAUCGGGAAGAACACCAGUGGCGAAGGCGCUCUGCUGGGCCAUAACUGACGCUCAUGGACGAAAGCCAGGGGAGCGAAAGGGAUUAGAUACCCCUGUAGUCCUGGCCGUAAACGAUGAACACUAGGUGUCGGGGGAAUCGACCCCCUCGGUGUCGUAGCCAACGCGUUAAGUGUUCCGCCUGGGGAGUACGCACGCAAGUGUGAAACUCAAAGGAAUUGACGGGGGCCCGCACAAGCGGUGGAGUAUGUGGUUUAAUUCGAUGCAACGCGAAGAACCUUACCAGGGUUUGACAUCCUGCGAAUUCCUUGGAAACUUGGAAGUGCCUUCGGGAGCGCAGAGACAGGUGGUGCAUGGCUGUCGUCAGCUCGUGUCGUGAGAUGUUGGGUUAAGUCCCGCAACGAGCGCAACCCACGUCUUUAGUUGCCAGCAUUAAGUUGGGCACUCUAGAGAGACCGCCGGUGAUAAACCGGAGGAAGGUGUGGAUGACGUCAAGUCAUCAUGCCCCUUACAUCCUGGGCUACACACGUACUACAAUGCUACGGACAAAGGGCAGCAAACUCGCGAGAGCUAGCAAAUCCCAUAAACCGUGGCUCAGUUCAGAUCGUAGGCUGCAACUCGCCUACGUGAAGGAGGAAUCGCUAGUAAUCGCAGGUCAGCAUACUGCGGUAAAUACGUUCCCGGGCCUUGUACACACCGCCCGUCACACCAUGGAAGUUGGCCACGCCCGAAGUCGUUACUCCAACCCUUGUGGAGGAGGAUGCCGAAGGUGGGGCUGAUGACUGGGGUGAAGUCGUAACAAGGUAGCCGUACCGGAAGGUG
rnacentral:rRNA from 1 species